rnacentral:sRNA from 1 species
AAUGUUUGUACAUUGACAUAUUUUGAGCUAUAUCUUGGCACUAAAAAUCUAAUUUGUGAAGAAAACGUCUGGAAUGGUCCUAAUAUCUAUUUUACUAUUUAUUUACGGACAAUGUCAAGUGCCAUAAAUCCUCAAAAGUCCCGCAAAAUAGCGAAAACGUAUAGAUAUAUUCUAGGGCGACAAAAAGAGUGAUAUCUGUACUUAACUUAUACGUAUUGCCCGGAGGAAUAUGUGCUUCAACAAAGAAGAAAGAGUCAUAUUAAGAAAUUUUACAUCAAGAGCUUUUUUAGCUGUUUCUUUUUUUUUGUAAAAUAAUUGAAGUUUACGUAAAUUUAUUUGAUUGACAGGAGAAUUCAAUUCAUAAGGAGAGCUCAAAAAGGGGUGGCCUUGAAUCAGAAUGGCCACUUAUGAAAUUUCCUUAUUUCCAAAAUAAAAUAACUCUCAUUAUUUAUCAAAAAAAUAAAAAAAUCUAACAA